CCUACGGGUGGCAGCAGUGGGGAAUAUUGCACAAUGGGGGCAACCCUGAUCCAGCGACGCCGCGUGAGGGACGAAUUCAUUCGUUAUUUAAAGCUCUAUCAGCAGGGAGGAAAAUGCCGGUACCUGAGUAAGAAGCCCCGGCUACCUACGUGCCAGCACCGGCGAUAAUCCGUAGGGGGCCAGCUUUAUCCGGAUUUACGGGGUUUAAAGGGACCUUAGACGGCGUUGCAGGUCUGGAGGGAAAGGGGGGGGCUCAACCCCCGGAAUGCUCUGGAAACUGUACGGCUGGAGUGCAGGAGAGGUAAGUGGAAUUCGUGGUGUAGCGGUGAAAUGCGUAGAUAUUAGGAGGAACACCAGUGGCGAAGGCGGCUUACUGGACUGUAACUGACGUUGAGGCUCGAAAGCGUGGGGAGCAAACAGGAUUAGAUACCCGUGUAGUC
rnacentral:rRNA from 1 species